rnacentral:rRNA from 1 species
AUUGAACGCUGGCGGCAUGCCUUACACAUGCAAGUCGAACGGCAGCACGGGUGCUUGCACCUGGUGGCGAGUGGCGAACGGGUGAGUAAUACAUCGGAACGUACCUUAUCGUGGGGGAUAACGCAGCGAAAGCUGUGCUAAUACCGCAUACGCCCUGAGGGGGAAAGCGGGGGAUCGCAAGACCUCGCGCGAUUAGAGCGGCCGAUGCCUGAUGAGCUUGUUGGGGGGGUAAAAGCCCACCAAGGCGACGAUCAGUAGCUGGUCUGAGAGGACGAUCAGCCACACUGGGACUGAGACACGGCCCAGACUCCUACGGGAGGCAGCAGUGGGGAAUUUUGGACAAUGGGGGCAACCCUGAUCCAGCAAUGCCGCGUGAGUGAAGAAGGCCUUCGGGUUGUAAAGCUCUUUUGUCAGGGAAGAAACACCGGCUCUAACACAGUCUGGGAAUGACGGUACCUGAAGAAUAAGCACCGGCUAACUACGUGCCAGCCGCCGCCGUAA